AUAUUUUUGGGGUCUGAGGAACUGACAACAGCAGAACCCAGCACUCAGUGAUGGAAGGACCUCUGGGUUAAAUCCCAGGAUAGGGAGAGGAGAGGAGCUGGAGACAACCUACCUUGGUUUGAGACCUGUUUCUGCCACCUCCUGGCUGUGUCCACUUGGCAUAUCAAGAGGAAGACUUAGAAAAAUUAGAUCAUCAUUUCUUCCAUAGAUGGAGAAGACACCUCUUCCACCUUAGGCAAGGCUCUUCAGCAUCCCACCCUGGGAGCAUAUGGCUAAGUCUGAUGAGAAAGGUCUUCCAACUGUAAGUGACUCUCUGAGGACAUGAUCGGCUGAAGGAACUUCUUGGUGCACGGGGAUGAACUGGAAGAAGAAGUCAGGGGAGGGACCAACUGAACGAGGCUGGACAGUAUGGGAGCUGUUAAUGAUGUCUGUGCUUAAAAAUAAUGAUUAUUCCAUAAAGUCAAAAAAACUAAAGUUGAAAAACUUUCUUUGCCCUCUACCUUAAAAUGAAGAAACAGAUGGCCAGCUGUAGCUGUAUAUUUCUUGUUGUUGCAAGUAAAUGCAGCCACAGGAGCUUAUUUUAUGCUAAAAGCCUCCAUCUGCUAGAUGUAAUCUUUUCGUACCUGUGGAAAAAAUGAAUAAAAUAAGAAGGACCCACUCGCUUCUGACCUUGACUCUCUGCAGAUUAUGCACCUAAGAUAGUUUCUUUUGUUCCUUGACAGGUCUUAAUUCCAAAAUGAUAGUGCUGUAGUAUUUUGACAGUUUCAUCCUUUUACCUAAAUGGGGAUGAAUUUGGCUUCCUAAUAUUCCUGGUUGGCAUAUGUUUUGCUGCAACAGAGGGAGAGGAUUUUCCUUUAAUGAGCAAUACCCUGUGUCCCUUCACAGCGUCUUUUCUUGUUGUAAAAAUGCUCAAGCAUCCUUUGCCUCUCUAGUCUAUUUGCUACACGGAAUUGAGAAAUCAUUAUAAAUAAAAGAGGUAUUAAAAC
ensembl:lncRNA